rnacentral:misc_RNA from 1 species
UCGAAAUACUGACGACGAGUUGUCGCUGGUUCUGUGCACGCUCGUCGUUCUUAAUUUCUCCAUCUAUUUGUGCACCCCUUGUGUGGAUCUGUCCCUCGGGACGAUUGGGGACUGCUUUGCGAAACGACCUUUUGCGGGCUUUCCUCGUGUAGAUCCUCAUUUUCUUCACAUACCACUUGUAAAUAGAGAAGGGUCGGAAUCAUAAAAUAUA